rnacentral:piRNA from 1 species
CGGCAUGUGUUAACCAAGAGACUCGUCUGC